rnacentral:rRNA from 1 species
GACGAACGCUGGCGGCGUGCCUAAUACAUGCAAGUCGAGCGCAGGAAACUGACGGAACUCUUCGGAGGGAAGGCAGUGGAAUGAGCGGCGGACGGGUGAGUAACACGUAAGGAACCUGCCUCAAGGAUUGGGAUAACUCCGAGAAAUCGGAGCUAAUACCGGAUAGUUCAACGGACCGCAUGGUCCGCUGAUGAAAGGCGCUUCGGCGUCACCUUGAGAUGGCCUUGCGGUGCAUUAGCUAGUUGGUGGGGUAACGGCCCACCAAGGCGACGAUGCAUGGCGGACCGGGGAGGGUGAUCGGCCACACUGGAACUGAGACACGGCCCAGACUCCUACGGGAGGCAGCAGUAGGGAAUCUUCCACAAUGGACGAAAGUCUGAUGGAGCAACGCCGCGUGAGUGAUGAAGGUUUUCGGAUCGUAAAACUCUGUUGUAAGGGAAGAACACGUACGAGAGGGAAUGCUCGUACCUUGACGGUACCUUACGAGAAAGCCACGGCUAACUACGUGCCAGCAGCCGCGGUAA